GAACGCCGGCGGCGUGCCUAAUACAUGCAAGUCGAGCGAACAGACGAGGAGCUUGCUCCUCUGACGUUAGCGGCGGACGGGUGAGUAACACGUGGAUAACCUACCUAUAAGACUGGGAUAACUUCGGGAAACCGGAGCUAAUACCGGAUAAUAUAUUGAACCGCAUGGUUCAAUAGUGAAAGACGGUUUUGCUGUCACUUAUAGAUGGAUCCGCGCCGCAUUAGCUAGUUGGUAAGGUAACGGCUUACCAAGGCAACGAUGCGUAGCCGACCUGAGAGGGUGAUCGGCCACACUGGAACUGAGACACGGUCCAGACUCCUACGGGAGGCAGCAGUAGGGAAUCUUCCGCAAUGGGCGAAAGCCUGACGGAGCAACGCCGCGUGAGUGAUGAAGGUCUUCGGAUCGUAAAACUCUGUUAUUAGGGAAGAACAAAUGUGUAAGUAACUAU
rnacentral:rRNA from 1 species